UAAAUAGAACUUCGGAGUGCUGCAAUGCACGACACAUUACACAACCGUGCUUUAGGAUCCGUGAAGAUGUGUAACAGGCUUGUGUACCUUCCCAGCUAUUUUUUAAAUCCAUCCUCAUCAAACUAGGGAGUAGCUGCUAGUGAUGAGUGCACAGCAGUUACCACUUACCUUAAAUACAUGUAUUAUCAUCUCUCAGAGUCAUUGACAACAGCAACAGAGAUUAUAUUACAUACUGAAAAUUUAUAGAUUACUGUGCAAAGCUGUCUGGAUUUUGAAGGAUUUUUAUGAAGAAGGAAAAUGUGCCCUCAUCUAUCGUAUUCCCUCUUCACUAUCCUGAUCUCUCCAUUGCUAUUGCUAUUCUGGAUUGGCCUUCUCACCCUGGAGAGUAUAGGGAUACAGUGAUUUUGCUGAAGAUAGCUACAUCCUGACGACAGCAAAGGGUGCUCAGAGAGAAUCACCAAGAGCAACCAGAUCUCACAACCUGCAAGCCAAAACUGAGAACUGUGGAAGCACAUACUCUGCAUGAUCUGGGUAUCACCGAUAAUCUCUCAUUAUGAAUUUCUUACAGACUCGUAUUCUUCCUAAGUCAUGAUUUCAUCUGUAAGACAGUGAAUUGAGCAAACAGUAAAAAUGCUGAUUUUCAGAAGAUUCUGUGCUGCUCAACUCCAAUAUCACCGGCACUACUAUGUUCAAUAUCUUUAGCACCAAUGCACUAUAGCAUUUAGAGCUAUAGGAGAUAGGUGUAUAUACAUCUGUCCAGUAGGUGAUAGAAAAGAUUUUGGCAUGAAUGUAUGUUCCAGGUAAGAAGAAUGAAACAACCAAAGCUUGAAAUCCUGAAGGUGUAUCUGCUGUUCCAUGGAAAGCAUGUAGGCAAAGGGGCUUACCAUGGUCAAAUAGUAUUUUGGUGACCCUGAAGCCUAAAGAGAUCGGUUUACUAGGACAUGAUUUUACUGAAGUAGCAACUUUGUGGGUCAAUAACUUCUAUGAGCUCAUCUAAUGCUUUUGUUAGUGGUAGAGAGGUAGUUUACAUUGGCCACCAACACGAAAAAAUAUGGCCAUUACAACUUUGUGGGAUUGAAAUUAGGAAACUUUUAUAAAUUGUCAUAAUUUUUGGGUUAUGUUUUUAUCAGGAGGUUAAAAGAAUAUGGUUUUGUUGUGUCAGCGUCAAACAUAGUAACUCAAAAAUAUGUGGAUCCUGAUACUUACUUAUUAUGAUAACAAAUGUCAUCAAUACAUACUUCUUCAUAAUGUCAUGAAGCUGAGCGUGUCUAUCAGGGAUUCAAUAAUAUGGGAGUCAAAGAAAAAAAAUCUUUUUGCAAAAAGAACUAUUGGACAGUUUCCUACAUGAGGAGUAGCAUUCUCUAAAUAUGCAUGCAUUUCUGCUGACUUCUAGCUUUUGGAGGAAAAGCGCCAUAAAUUUUUGUUUUAUAUGGUCACUUGCCAGAAAUUUAAUCUUCAAAGAUGAGAUUUAGAGUAGAUCAACUAUAGAGUGAUAUAUAGCACAAAUAGUCAAUCUAUUUUGAAAACAGAAUUUUCUUUACAUUUUGAGAAUAAAGAUUUUCCAUGUGGUUAUAUUUCAAAGAUCAAAAAUACAAGCACUGUUUGUAAAAUAUCAAGAAACAGCAAUAACGAUGCAUAUUUAUUCUAUUUUUUGAGUUUAUCUGUAUCUUCUCCAGGAUAAUUGCUGACUGUAUUGUCAUGCCAAACUGUCAGAGUAUACUCAAUACCUCAUGGCAACAAGUUUAACAUGUUAUGUCUUAUUCUUCAGUUUUAUAUGUAAACAAACACAGUACUUUGAUUUGGCAUCAAAAUUCCUCAUCAACAGUUUCCUCUUUUUUAUUUCCUAGUGGGGAUUACAUUUUCCAUAAACUUCCAUCUUGUUUGAAGAUGAGAAUGAGACCAUUUGAUGCAUAUGAUAUAUUUUUUAUAGUACACUGGGAGACUGACAUAUUGCAAGAACUACUGCUGAUAGAUAAUUGUCAUUGUACCAUUUUAUUAGCGAAUAUUAGCUUUUUAAACAGUAAAUAUGUGGUUAGGAAAAUGUAAACCUUGUGCCAAGAAGAGAGAUUUGAAAUGUAUUAACUACUGAGCCAAGGAUUUAAUAACCAGCAUGAAGGUUUAAACUGACUUUUAAGGACUUUUAAUACGUAUAAUAAAAACUCAAAUUCUUCAGA